rnacentral:rRNA from 1 species
GACGAACGCUGGCGGCGUGCUUAACACAUGCAAGUCGAACGGAAAGGCCCUGCUUGCAGGGUACUCGAGUGGCGAACGGGUGAGUAACACGUGGGUGAUCUGCCCUGCACUUCGGGAUAAGCCUGGGAAACUGGGUCUAAUACCGGAUAGGAGCCAUUUUUAGUGUGAUGGUUGGAAAGUUUUUUCGGUGUAGGAUGAGCUCGCGGCCUAUCAGCUUGUUGGUGGGGUAAUGGCCUACCAAGGCGGCGACGGGUAGCCGGCCUGAGAGGGUGGACGGCCACAUUGGGACUGAGAUACGGCCCAGACUCCUACGGGAGGCAGCAGUGGGGAAGAUUGCACAAUGGGCGCAAGCCUGAUGCAGCGACGCCGCGUGGGGGAGGACGGCCUUCGGGUUGUAAACUCCUUUCGCUAGGGACGAAGCUUUUUGUGACGGUACCUAGAUAAGAAGCACCGGCUAACUACGUG